rnacentral:rRNA from 1 species
UACGUAGGGAGCAAGCGUUGUCCGGAAUCAUUGGGCGUAAAGCGCGCGUAGGCGGCCCUGUAAGUCCGUUGUGAAAGUCAAAGGCUCAACCUUUGAAAGCCGAUGGAUACUGCAGGGCUAGAGUUCGGAAGAGGCGAGUGGAAUUCCUGGUGUAGCGGUGAAAUGCGCAGAUAUCAGGAGGAACACCGGUGGCGAAGGCGGGUCUCUGGCCGAUACUGACGCUGGAGGAGCGAAAGCGUGGGAGCGAACAGG